ACAAGUAUGUUUAACUUCACAGAGACUUAACCCAUAUCUAUUCAAACAUUUCCAAAUGGCUCUCUCUCUCUCUCUCUCUAAAAUGGUUCUCUCUCAGUAGCCCUAAUUAAGGAGCUGUGGAUGCAACCAGCAAUGAAGAGUUCUUGGAGUUUAUAGAUCUACAGAGAGAUUAAUGCUUCUAAUCUCAACGAUUUCGUGUUCAAUCUGGAUCUCGAUUUCGAUUUGUGCACUAGGGCUUAGGAUUUAAUAUUUUCCUUCGAGAUUUUUCAAUUUCCCUUCCAGAUUUUUCGAUUUCCCUUAAUCUUUACCGAUCUAGGUCUUCGUUUUUCAUGGAUUCAGGUAUCCAAUCGCUCGUGAUUUGGAGUUGCUAAGUUCACUUGAGAUACAGAGCUUUCAUGGGCUUGUUAUUCAUCGAGUCUGAUCUAGACUUGCUGUGAGUGAACUCAAGAUUCAGAGGUUUUCAUCACUACACAGACUUGGAUAUUUCGCAAGAUUCAAUACUGCAGAAUGUAGAUGAGCAGACAGUUCGUAGUCUCAAUGGAUGCAGAGUGACUGAUCAAAUUUUGCGUUUGCUUUCGUACUACACUGAGAUGUAUGAGACUCUAGGCAAAGCGAUGUGGGGUUUAUUCAAAUGUUUCGAGGUUUCUUGGUGGUAUCAAUUGGGCGUUACUUGUUGCUCGUAUAUGCCAACUUUACCCAAAUGCACUACCUAAUAUGUUGGUCUCAAGGUUCUUCAAGGUCUAUAACCUUUGGCGGUGGCCAAAUCCUGUCACGUUAUGUCCUAUUCAGGAUGGUUCUCUGGGACUUCCUGUUUGGGAUCCCAAGAGAAAUUUCAGGGAUAGGCAGCACCUGAUGCCAACCAUAACUCCUGCAUAUCCCUGCAUGAACUCUAGUUACAAUGUGUCGACAAGCACAUUGCGUGUGAUGAUGGAAGAGUUUCAGCGAGGCAAUGAGAUUUGUGAGAAUGAACAGUGGGAGAUUAAGCCAAUGGUUACAAAUACUAGUUUGUGUAGUGAUCUUGCUAAAAACAGAAGGAUUCAAUGUUGGAAUAACUUAUGUUGAGAAUGCAGUUGCAAAAGGAUUUGUUUGGAUGGGAGUCCACCGGCAUACCAUCAUGAUAAGGGAUUUGGAACGGGAAUUAACAGUUGGUUGGUUCAUAUUGAGGUUGGUCCUUUUACAGUAUAUAUAAUCAAUUUCAUGGUUACAGUAUAUACUAUAGAAUUGUCUUUUGGGUCUUGUGCUAUACUUGGUGGUACAAUGCCAAAAUUUGGCACACCAUUGUCGUGUCUUUAUUUUUUCAAUUGGUGGUAUAAGGCUAAAUUUAGCUUUGACACAUAUUCAAGUUGCUAGGAGGUCUAAAUCAAGAGAUAACAAAUAGCUAACAUUUUAGUUAUCAAGAUUGGAGAUGAUGUGAUCCAGCAUUCAAGUUUUACCUGAAUUGAUUGCUUCUGUAAAGAAGGCAGCAUUAGAAGAUGUUAAUGGUUGUUUAGGUUAAUAAAUAAUGUUGUUGAGUACUUUCCAUGUGUAUGCUUUCUAAUGUUUGCUGAAAUUUUAAACUCAUUUUUAAUUGUUGUGUGUUGAAACAGACAAUGGCAUGGAUCGAAAUUUCAUGGCUACUCACCCGCUGUGGUGACUGGUAAACCUAUUCUAAGUAAACAUAGACUGGUUUGUAAUUGGCAUUAUUUUUGAUUUUUUCUUCUCAUGGUUGCUUAUGCUUUUGCUCUAUGUUAUAUUAAUGGCUGUUUGAUGAAACCAAACUUUCAAAGUUACACAUAUUGUGAAUACAACGUAUAAAUAAAAAAGUUUUCAUUGUACAUGCACUUGGAAAUUUCAUAAUUUCUUAUCUUUCUAGCCUUCUUGACAUGGUAUGCAAGAGUAUGUAGAUUUUCUAACCAUUCAAGUUUAUUGAAGUUGUGUUAAUGGAAUUGGAUG